UACAGAGGGUGCUAGCGUUGUUCGGAAUCAUUGGGCGUAAAGGGUGCGUAGGCGGCGCGGUAAGUCGGGUGUGAAAUCUCGGGGCUUAACUCCGAAACUGCAUUCGAUACUGCCGUGCUUGAGGACUGGAGAGGAGACUGGAAUUUACGGUGUAGCGGUGAAAUGCGUAGAUAUCGUAAGGAAGACCAGUGGCGAAGGCGGAUCUCUGGACAGCUCCUGACGCUGAGGCGCGAAGGCUAGGGGAGCAAACGGG
rnacentral:rRNA from 1 species